GAUGAACGCUGGCGGCGUGCCUAAUACAUGCAAGUCGAGCGAACGGACGAGAAGCUUGCUUCUCUGAUGUUAGCGGCGGACGGGUGAGUAACACGUGGAUAACCUACCUAUAAGACUGGGAUAACUUCGGGAAACCGGAGCUAAUACCGGAUGAUAUUUUGAACCGCAUGGUUCAAAAGUGAAAGACGGUCUUGCUGUCACUUAUAGAUGGAUCCGCGCUGCAUUAGCUAGUUGGUAAGGUAACGGCUUACCAAGGCAACGAUGCAUAGCCGACCUGAGAGGGUGAUCGGCCACACUGGAACUGAGACACGGUCCAGACUCCUACGGGAGGCAGCAGUAGGGAAUCUUCCGCAAUGGGCGAAAGCCUGACGGAGCAACGCCGCGUGAGUGAUGAAGGUCUUCGGAUCGUAAAACUCUGUUAUUAGGGAAGAACAUAUGUGUAAGUAACUGUGCACAUCUUGACGGUACCUAAUCAGAAGGCCACGGCUAACUACGUG
rnacentral:rRNA from 1 species